AUCAUUAUAUACAGAGACUUAUACACUCUGGUACAAUAGAUGGUAAUGGACUUCUCCAUUAGGGUCCCUGAACAAUCUGCAGGGAUCUAAAAAACACUAUCCACAAGCAGAGGAUAAACUGUGAGAGUAAAAACACUGAAGAAAAGCAACUGCUUGAUUACAGGGGUUGAGGGGAUAUGACUGAGGAGAGACUCUAAAUGAACACUCUAGUGCAAAUACCAACAAUAUUGAAAUGGGUUUGAGUCAAGAGCACAUGUGAUACCCAGUGGAAUCAUGUGUCAGAUUCAUGGGAAAUAUUAAUUCCCAAUUUGGAACUGUCAAGCACCAUAUGAAGUUGAAGAGAGAUAAAAAUCCUCAAGUCUAUUGUCAAAGCUGCAUCCCUGAGGGCCACUGAAGAAAGCCUUUUGUCAUCGUCGAUUUCAUUUGAAGAAAUAUUUCCUAAUAAGAUCAUUUUCAUUGCGUGGGCAGGCAUCUGUUCCCAAUUUAUUUGUUGGAAGUCAGGCAGAAUCCAUAGCCACUUAAAAUGAUGUGAUAUUUUUCCAUCUUUGUUGCCAGGGGAGUGAAGAACCCUUUCACAUUUUUUAUCCCAUCUAGCUGAAAUAAUCUCCCUAAUUUAUGUCCCCUUCUAAUAUAAUGUUCAAAAUCCAGAGUCAUUGCUAAUCAAAGAUUUCCCCAUGGCUAUUUGGGGGAACAAGGUGCUCUGGGCAUUUUUAUUUAUGUGACUGAGUAUCAUUAUAAACAUCCAAACCACAUUUUAAUGUAACCAGAACACCCGUCAAUUGGUGUUUUUGAAUGUAUAUCCUCAGAAGUCAUAUGGUUUCUUUCACUAUUGUUAAGUUCUAGUGGAAUUUGAGGACAUAUGAUAUAUUCCCUGGAGCCCUAAAGGUAUAUCUAAGAUACUUGGAGGCCGCCAAAAUGUUGAAAAAUUGUUUGUUUCUUCAUCUUGCCUACAAAUUACAAAAGUAAGCACAUAUUUUAGAGCUGACCUACAUGUCUCCCUAGAAAUCCUCUGCUUAUAAAGUAAUCUUAUCUAGUUAGAAUUGAAGAAUAAUUAAAUGAAAAUGCAAAGGAGAAAUUAAUUGCAGUUUGAAGUGAAAUAAACAGGAAAAGAUAUUAAAUUGAAUGAACAAAAAAGAUCUCAAUUAUUAGUUAGCAUCUUGGGAUUAGUGUGUGGUUUUAGGCUCCAACUAAACCCAAAUUGCUUAAACUUUGGCAUCAAUUUGGUAGCACAAAUGUGAACAUUUGUCAGGCUUUUCUAACAAUUUUCAUAGGUAGGAAGGAUAAUUUCAUUUGAAAUCAAUACUCUUGGAAAGCCAUUUUCUUUGUAUCCCUGCAUGAAUAUUUCCCUAAUUCUGGAUAUGUUAACAUUAAAGUCCUUGGACUUUUAUUUGGCUGUGGGUGAGGCUGUUUUAUGUGCAGGUUUUCUCAGUCAGGUUUGGAUCUGGUUUUCAAAUAUACAAGUUUAAUGUAAUAGGACAAUGAGUCCUGCUGUAUAGAAGUGAGCAUUAAGUAAUCGACCAAUGAGCAUUAUUAAGCAUCAGUUAAUGUUUAGGUUAAAAAAAUAAAUAACCUGAAAACAGUCUCUCCUUUAAAGUAUCUUCCAUUCUAUCAAGGAAGGUAACUUCUGUAUAGAAUCAUGAGUAAAAUAACUACAAAACAAAUAUGAAGCAUUUG